AGCAGCCGCGGUAAUUCCAGCUCCAAUAGCGUAUAUUAAAGUUGUUGCAGUUAAAAAGCUCGUAGUUGAAUUUCGGGGUCAGCAGGUUGGUCAUGCCUCUGGUAUGCACUGGUUUCGCUGAUUCCUCCUUUCUGAAGAACUGUAAUGUCAUUAAUUUGGUGUUGCAGGGAAACAGGACUGUUGCUUUGAAAAAAUUAGAGUGUUUAAAGCAAGCUAACGCCUGAAUACAUUAGCAUGGAAUAAUGAAAUAGGACGUUUGAUCCUAUUUUGUUGGUUUCUAGGAUUGACGUAAUGAUUAAUAGGGAUAGUUGGGGGCAUUAGUAUUCAAUUGUCAGAGGUGAAAUUCUUGGAUUUAUUGAAGACUAACUACUGCGAAAGUAUUUGCCAAGGAUGUUUUCAUUAAUCAAGAACGAAAGUUAGGGGAUCGAAGACGAUCAGAUACCGUCGUAGUCUUAACCAUAAACUAUGCCGACUAGGGAUCGGAUGAUGUUAAUUUUUUAAUGACUCA
rnacentral:rRNA from 1 species